rnacentral:rRNA from 1 species
AACGAACGCUGGCGGCGUGGAUAAGACAUGCAAGUCGAACGGGAUUACUUCUGGUAGCAAUACCGGAGGUAAUUUAGUGGCGAACGGGUGCGUAACACGUGGGGAAUCUGCCGAGAAGUGGGGGAUAGCUCGUCGAAAGGCGAAUUAAUACCGCAUAUGAUCAGCCAAGACAUCUUGGCGACAUCAAAGCCGGGGCAACCUGGCGCUUCUUGAUGACCCCCGCGGCCUACAGCUAGUUGGUGAGGUAACGGCCCACCAAGGCUAUGACGGGUAGCUGGUCUGAGAGGACGACCAGUCACACUGGAACUGAGAC